UACGUAGGGUGCGAGCGUUAAUCGGAAUUACUGGGCGUAAAGCGUGCGCAGGCGGUUUUGUAAGCCAGAUGUGAAAUCCCCGGGCUUAACCUGGGAACGGCAUUUGGGACUGCAAGGCUGGAGUGUGGCAGAGGAGACUGGAAUUCCUGGUGUAGCAGUGAAAUGCGUAGAUAUCAGGAGGAAUACCGAUGGCGAAGGCAGGUCUCUGGGCUGACACUGACGCUCAUGCACGAAAGCGUGGGGAGCAAACAGG
rnacentral:rRNA from 1 species